rnacentral:rRNA from 1 species
GACGAACGCUGGCGGCGUGCUUAACACAUGCAAGUCGAACGGAAAGGCCCUGCUUUUGUGGGGUGCUCGAGUGGCGAACUGGUGAUUAACACUUGAGUAACCUGCCCUUGACUUUGGGAUAACUUCAUGCAACUUGGUCUAAUACCGCAUAGGAGCUCCUGCUUCAUGGUGGGGGUUGGAAAGUUUCGGCGGUUGGGGAUGUACUCGCGGCUUAUCAGCUUGUUGGUGGGGUAGUGGCUUACCAAGGCUUUGACGGGUAGCCGGCCUGAGAGGGUGACCGGCCACAUUGGGACUGAGAUACGGCCCAGACUAAUACGGGAGGCAGAAGUGGGGAAUAUUGCACAAUGGGCGGAAGCAUGAUGCAGCAACGCAGCGUGCGGGAUGACGGCAUUCGGGUUGUAAACCGCUUUCGCCUGUGACGAAGCGUGAGUGACGGUAAUGGGUAAAGAAGCACCGGCUAACUACGUG